rnacentral:tRNA from 1 species
UNUAAGACUUGUGACAUUUAACAGCACAUCUCCUGAAUGCAACUCACACACUUUAAUUAA